rnacentral:rRNA from 1 species
GAUGAACGCUGGCGGCGUGCCUAAUACAUGCAAGUCGAGCGAACAGACGAGGAGCUUGCUCCUCUGAUGUUAGCGGCGGACGGGUGAGUAACACGUGGAUAACCUACCUAUAAGACUGGGAUAACUUCGGGAAACCGGAGCUAAUACCGGAUAACAUGUUGAACCGCAUGGUUCAACAGUGAAAGACGGUCUUGCUGUCACUUAUAGAUGGAUCCGCGCCGCAUUAGCUAGUUGGUAAGGUAACGGCUUACCAAGGCAACGAUGCGUAGCCGACCUGAGAGGGUGAUCGGCCACCCUGGAACUGAGACACGGUCCAGACUCCUACGGGAGGCAGCAGUAGGGAAUCUUCCGCAAUGGGCGAAAGCCUGACGGAGCAACGCCGCGUGAGUGAAGAAGGUCUUCGGAUCGUAAAACUCUGUUAUUAGGGAAGAACAAAUGUGUAAGUAACUAUGCACGUCUUGACGGUACCUAAUCAGAAAGCCACGGCUAACUACGUG